UUUCCUCGUGCCCCUGGUUUUACGAAGAUAAACUAAGAUAAGCUAACAGUUCUCCGUGUGACUGUCAACUACGUCCCUGCAAUAAAGUGAUUUCCCAAAAUAUCGAACUACUCCUUCAGUAAAUACACAGAGGACACUGUUGCUCCAAAAAAAACCAAAACAAAACCCUAACACCAGACUCUGCAGCCAUGUUGGGAUCAACAGGUCUCAGCCUCCUGCUCAGCCGUCCUGUUGGCUUUUGAGGAGAGGAGUCCGGUGUUAACGUCACAUCACCAGACACUCCA